GCAGUUCCAUCGCUGGCCCGAGGGAGCCCCGCGGGACGCUCCGACAGGGGGUGUGUGGUCUGUCUGGGCCGUGGACCGUCCCCAGGUUUGGAAGCAACUGUGGUGCAGGUGAGGGACGUGACAGCUGGCUGUCAGCCUUUCCUGUGGUUGCCUCCGCGGCAGAGCUUGGCUAGGAGUGAUACUGUUACGCUGGUAUGGACGUGGAGUAAGUGUUGGAGGAGUUCUUGGGGUUAGAUGUGGGUGAAGUUAGAGGUGCUCACAAGGUGAGGUCCCGGGCAUCUGCACGCUGUGUUACCCGGCCAUAUCUUUUUCCUUACCGUGACAAGUGGUUUUGUUCCUCAGAAGUCAUCUAGCUGUAGGUGGCCCUGUUCAUUGCGGGACUCGCAUCUGCACCUUUAAGGGUCUCCUCCAACUCAAACGAUUUGUGAUUAUUUUUUUAAUUCGAUGUGGGAGCUCAACUUAAGCCUUGUUUGUUCCACAUCUGCUUACCUGGCCCUUCAGCAAUGAGGGCUCACUCAGUCUCAGUCCGCAUUCCUUUGAAGGCAGCGUUGGAUCUUUAACCUUCUGAUUCUAAAACGGGUAAAAUAUAAAAUUGGUUCGUUGCGUGUUGGUACUGAAUGACAGAGGAAUCCCUGGCAGCCUGAGCUGGGUGCCGCUGCUUUCAUGCUGGGCUCGUUUCCCCACCAUAGUGAGGGUGGUGUGGGGCUGACACCGGGACGAACUGAAGGCUUACAGCAUUCACUACGUGUCCACAGCUCUGUGGGUGUCCUCCUGGAGGCACUUCUGGUUGGCAGCAGGUAGGGCUGUCUGAGGGAUAGAGUCGGCCUUAAUGGGUUUUUCAUUGUAAUGGUGGCAUCGCUGAGCCUGGGGCUGGGGGUGCUGGGAGGUGCUGCGGUGGUGCCUGCGGGCACUGGGAGAAGCCGCACUGAGCCCAUCUCUGUCCUUGCCUCCAGUCUGGAGCAUCGCUGAGGCCUGUGACGUAAGUGCCUGUGGGGGAGGAGGAAUUGAGGGCAGCAGCUGGAAAAGCCUGUUCUCACUCCUCAGGGAUCUGCCUGAGGGGAGAGGAAGCCCCGCUAGGGGGAAGGCCCUGCUGGGGAAGGAGCAGGGCUGGCUGGGGGUGCUGGUGGUGGUGUGUGGCAGCCCCGGGCACUGCCCCUGCCCUCCUGCCCUUGUGUUGUGUGGAAACUGAUGGGAGUUCCUUGUAGGUGUGAGUGCAGUAUCAGGUGUCAGGCGUUCGUGUCGUUUGAGAAUAGGAGGCUUGAGGGGGGAAAAAACCCUAUCCUUUGUUUUUGUAAGGAACCUUGUGCAGCGUAUGAGAAGUGGUUAGUUAGUGUCACUGUUAAACUCAGAUAUACCUCUGGAAUGUGAAGCCUUGUCUGUCCGUAACGCUGUAUAUAUUCAGCGUCUUCAUAGCUUGAUGUUUCAGUGUUUACUCUUCAGUACAAAGACUUUUCAGCUGAGGAGGGACAUAAACUGUUCAACCUCCAAAAUAAUGACCUGUUGGAAAACGAACCAUGACCUCAUUUCACACUGUGCUGCUGUGAAAGUUCAUAGUUCAGUUUUAACUCAGUCACCACCUCUCCUGUUCUUGCAGACAGGAGACUGCUUUGUGUGUGACGUAUGGCUCCAUUAAAAGUUUUAUGAUGAUUGCCUUUUUGUUUAAGAAGUCAAAGAUCGUGUUUCCCGAUGGUUUGUUUCCUAAAGGCCAGGAAAAUGAAUGCUAUUUAGCAAUGCAUGAGCACCUCGCUGGAUUUUCCUGGUUUAAGGUAGGCAGUGGCUGCUCCAGGUCCUUCUCAGCCUGGUAUUUGUCAGGCUAAUUGGUCAGGGUUACUCUCAGGGUUCCCAAAUCCCAGGCUGGUAGUAAGAAGCUGCAGUGCUGUAUGCACAGUCUGCCAUCCUGAGCUGCGGUCUCUCUUCUCCACACCUGACUGUGUCCGGCCCAAAUGAAUCGUACCGCUUUCCAGCUUUAUUCUGCAACGUCACAACGUUGGGCAAUGCCAGGAUUUAUGAGUUUUGGUCUUCAGAGUCUCAGAAAAAUGCAAGUUUUCUCCUGUCACCUCGUGGUCACUGUCAGUCAUGUGGGUGGGGGGGACACAAGGCAAAGAAGCGGAGCGUUUUCCUUGUAGGUCAGAAUUCAUUAAUACAAUGGCAGUUUAGUGGGGAACUCAGCUGGAAAUGAGUUAGUGCUGCUUUGUGUUACGACACACAAAAAGAUGAACAAGUCUUUGAAGCCACUUCAGGCUUCAUAAAUAUUAGCAGUCUCUGCAGUCGUUGCGGAGAGUAGGCACUAGAUUUUUUUUUUCCUUCUCCUUAAUGUACAAUUUCUCUUGUAUAGUAAAUCGCCUUGGCUAAAGGGUAGCGUUCAGCUGCAAAUUAAAACUACAUUAUCUCUAGUUAGGAGCUUUCUUGGUCUUUUCCCCCUCCUCUCUUUGACACCCAAUCCUUUCUUCUGAUGUACUCUCUGGCAGUAAUAGAUUUAAUUCCCUGACUUAGGAGACCAGGCCUUCAGAGGUGCAUAAAUGACUGCAGAUGCAGUUAUGUGCUUCUGAGAGGGGCAGAAGGUGAAGGCUCCUGACCUGCUCUGCUGGUUGCUUGUGAAAAAUUAUUUCUAUUUGAAUCUUGGGUCACCGUGUGUCUUUAACAUUUGCUCAUGUUAAUGAGGGGAAAAAACUACUGGCUUUGAUGGACGAUGGUUUUUGUAAAUGUGCUCGGAGAAUACUUAGGGUUGUCUGGUUUGCUUUUAGUUUGAAAGCUGUGUCUGCAUCUCAACGGAAACCGGAGUUCAGCUGAGAUGAGCUGCUUACAGCUCGGAGUUACUGCAGCCAUUCCCUGCCAAGGUCUGUUGAGAACAUGUCACCUGUUCUAGAGAGAUGUGUUAUCCAGAGUGCAUCACACUUAGCAUCAAGCUUGUUCUAUUGGUGCCUUGACGGAAACAAACCGAUCUUUUAUUUCCUAGUAUACUCUAAAAAUAAGCAACUUUUAAAGUAAAUUUUCUGUCUUGCUUUUCCUUCCUGGGGUGCAGGUCCUGGAGGUCACUGUAAGUCAUUGGUGCUGCAGCUGUUCUGCAGGAGCUGAUGUUUUGGUUACAAACCCCAGACACUGCAGCCCUCUCUUCCUGAUCCCAUCGAUGCAGGUGUUGACACAUCUUUUGACCCGUGAUUAAGGGAUUUGUGACCAGGUUUGUGGGAUGCACGUGCCCAGGAAGAAUAAUCAUUAGAUGGUGCAUCAUAUAGAUGCGUGUGUUCCUUGGGAUGUGUGCGUGCAGACUUCUGUCUCAAACUUAACUCAGUUUUGAGUGAGUUCUUGCUGCUGCUUGGGCACGUUGUUGCUGUGCACUGCCCUGGCUUGGCAGCAGCCACCUCACACAGGGCUCUUCCCUCCAUCAGGGCUCUUCUGUCUGCUCAGUGCAUAUUCUCAAGAUUCCUUUGUGAUGUGCGUGAAGGUGAACAUCUGCCGUAGAAACUAAAGGAAAUGGGGUGAGGUUCAGAUGUUUCUUAUGCUGCCACAUCUGUUUUGUGUGCUUAUGUGAGGAACUCUGUGGUCCGUGUUAAAUUUAUAAUGAGGAUUUUAUUUUUAGGUCAACGCUCCAGGUGCAGAGUAAAGCUGUUAGUGGAAUGUUGACGGCCAGGUAGCACUGCUGUCAGCUGGGAGGGAGGGAGGAGGACAAGAAAAAGGGAUAAAGCAUGAAAUACCUCUUUAUCCUUGGGAUACUCAUCGAGCUCUGAGGGAGAAUACACUUUUGUUUCUUGAGUGUUGAGUGUCUCCUCCCAUCUAUCUCUAUGUAGUUGGCCAAGUUGUGGUGGAUUUCUUUUUAUGCAGGGAAAGUAGUUAGCAGUUGCUUGCCUUCUCCACGUUGAAAUGCAGUGGUUGGUAAAUGCAUUUAAAAUUUCCAAAGUACCCCCCUGAAAAUAACUGCUUAAUGUGAGAGGUCUGUACUUAUCUUAAUUAAAGAGAACAAAGCCAUGUGCUUUGUGGUGGCCUGACGUAUACAAUCAGUGCCUGAAUUCUGUUAUUUUCCACCACUGUAGCUGCCUUAUCAGAGCUCGUGGUAGGACUGUCAGUGACUUUUAUUAGUAGCUUGCAUUACUAAUGCUUGGCUCUUUUACCAUCUCAUAGAAGCCAGCUGUUCCUUCAAUAUUCAUUUGCAUACUCAGGUGCAAAGUUACUUAUAUGUAGAAUGCUGGAGAUUCACAGGCUUGGAAAUGAACCAGUUCUGAAAAUUAAUAUCGGAGCUUUGAAUGAAGGAUCCACAAGUUAUCCUCAGAUGCUCAGAGCAGGGUUUAUUCCAUAACUUGAAGUUUACCGUGAACUUGAAUGUUGAAAGUUAGACGUGACAGAACGUCUUAAAUAUAACAUAAGCAAGAGUUUUAGCUCUGAAGCUGUCUGCAGAAGUCCUUCUGUCUCACACUGCUGAUGUUACUGACUGAAGGGUUUCUCUAUUUACUCUCUCUGGAUCUCAUUUGUGCCCAUGUGCGUGCCCAGUAACUGCAUUUCAAAAUAACCUGCUGCACUUUUCAAGGUUAACAGCAUUCUGUCACGCUGGGUGAAAUGUGGCAGUGCUGCACGGAGACACGUGGAUUUACAACUGUCAGCAGUGUUUAAGCGGUAGCACAGCCGUAGGGAUGGGGGAAUGUGGAGCCUCUGGAGGAGUUCUUGUAAUGUGGUCUGAAGGCCACACGUAGUCCAUGGUGCUGCUUUAUGAGUCUGAAAAAGGUCUGUUUUUUCCUGUUUGCUUUUGGUAGAGCCAGAUCGUGGCUCUAAAUGUACAGUCUUGGGAUCCCUCUAGUUAUGUGAGGACUGGUGUGGAAGCUGUAAGCCCUGUAAUUGAUUCCAGACCUUAUUCUUGAGGAGCUGUACAGUCGUGGCUUCAGGCGCAAGCUGCUUCCCCCAGACAGUGAAGCAGGGCCUGCUGCAGGUGUGCCAGGACAGCAUGCUGCCCAGAGCCUGGUGCCUGUGUGCUGUCUGCAUUGGCUGCAGAGCCAGGUGGUGUGCCCAGUUUGAGCUCCAGAGGUCCAGGCAGCAGAGACCAGUCAGAAAAUCUCCUUGGGGCUGAAGGGACUGGUGGCCUGGACUCUGAGCAUCCUGUAAGACUUGUGGCAAGAUGCCAUGUCACAACAAGAAAAAAGUAGCACAUUCAACACCCAAUGAUAAGAUGUCGUUUACCCUGUGUCGUUCCUUGCACUUAUGUGGCCCUUGAUGGAAACACCCUUGGCUGCUUGAUUCAAAACCAAGCUGCACGUCGAUAUGUAAUCCAGGAUCCUGUCUCUGGGGUAUACUCACUCUUGGGUUCAGACUUUCUUCAUCUUCCUUCUUCCUCACCUUUUCCCUCCUGAGAUAAGCAGUAGUUCUUAUUGGCCGUGUGUCCCAUCCCAAAGCUCCUGACUGCUUUGAAUGGAAUAGGAGAACACGGAGCCUGCAUUACUAUGUUCUUUAUAUAGUCUAUCAUUUCAAAACAUUAAACGACUUCCAGGCAUUACAGCAGUUUGAUUAACUCUGUAACUUUUUGCACUGAAGUGCAGCUACUGCUGUGUGGAAUGCUGGGUGGUGUCAACCCUGCAAGAACACUUCACGAUAAGCUAUAGAGCACCUAGCUAGACGUGUGGAUCCUUUAAGAGCUCUGCCAGCUGCUGCAGGAUGCUGUAUGUUCAAGUUUCACUUGAGCUAUAAAGCUUCCUGGAAACUUGCAGUCAUUAAAACUAACGUCAGGAGCUUGCAACACAGUGCAGAAGUGAGGGCUGUGGUCUCCUCCAGAUGACGUGGAGCUAGCCCUGUUGUGCUUCAGAGAAACAUUCUGAGUAUGAAGCUUAUAAAGGGAUCUGUGCCUCUCUUGUGGGUUUUUCACUUUCCCUAUCUAGCAGAGUUACUGUUGGGAUUGAUGAAGUAGCAGCCUUGCUUCUGUUUUUGAGGGAUCUUCUAACAACGAUUUCAUUUAGUGCUGGAUCACUAAUCCCCCUACAACAAUAAGGAAGAAAAAUGAGGCACAAACAUCAUUUCUUGGAAUGUUUUGUAGGAAGAACGUGGAAAUUACACCGUUGAGCAGCUGACUGGUGAAGCUCUCUGCACUUCGGAGUCCUCUCAUAAAGCAGAGCAGAGACAGCACAUGCUUUUUGAGCAAGAAACUGCCUGGUGCUCUCAGGCUGGUUUUCUUCUGGCAUAGUGCAAGCCUGAAUAUACAGUAUCUGCUUUGAGUUUCACUCAGAUGAGUUAAGUUGGAGAAGAUGGAAUUCAUAAGUAAUUCUGUGUUUUGCUGUUAAUACUUUGAAAUUGCAUAAAUAUUUUUUUCUUUAUAGAUAAGCAUUAAGCAUUAAGCUAUUAUCUGUGACUCAUUACUGUGUAGUCUGCUGUUGGUGACAAUUUAUUGUCUUUGUUAAAUCAUGGAAAAUCCUUCCAUGCAGUUUGUAUUUCUUUGUGUCUGAAGCAAACUACAUUUGUUUAUCUUACCCUCUAGGUGGCUUUGUUUUCAGCUGGCUGGAAGUUCAUCAUAAUAUCUGAGUGCUACAGCAGACCUCACUCGUAGCCCAAAGAUGUCAUGUGUGUACUUAGCUGUGGAACAAUUGUCUUAAAUGGUUCCUGGAAACACUGCAUGGACUUAAGCAAAGAAGGGUGUCUGUUCUAAAGGUGGUGAUUUGCUUUUCUGCGUUCUUGUUCCUUUUCAAAUACUUCAGCUAAACAAAGCAUUUGUAGUUGCAUAAUCUGAUAUUCCUUUGGGCUUUUUUUUUUAUAUAUAAAUAUAAAAGGUAGGAAGUUAUUACUAUGUUCUCAUAAAUGUCAGAAGUAGGUAAAGACAGACGUACUGGAGAGGCUAAGAAGGGGUUGGACCCCUGACUGGCUGACCACAGUUGCUUGUUAUCUGAAACGAGAGAUGAGGAACUGUGGAGCUGUGUUUAGGCAGCAGAUGCAUUGGUAGUGUUUCUGAACCAUGGAGGAAAUACCAGACGCCAACGCUUCGCUUUCAGGAGAUUAUCUACUGCUACCAUACAUAUUUUCUUACUUGCAGGAUGGUCAUUGUUUGAAGUAGCUUCCUUUUUAUAUGAAGAUUUACUAGUAGAUUCACUUCAUAAAAUAUAUAUAUAUAUUUGCCAAAUGCAGCCAUAAACAGUAAUAUGAGUAUUUUUAAGUGGGACAAGGAGCAGCAAAGCACUCUGCUUAUCAGGGUGUAAAGGAAAGCUCAUCCUGUAGCUAGUCAGCUAAGGAAAACUCCUGUGUGUAAAAGGAUGCAACGUCAUGAGGUUGAGCAGUCCUGUUGUUUCUGUAGGUGCUCCCAUCUGCUCUAGUAUGCAUCCUCGGGUAGGGAUGCCACUGUGAUCUGAGUUCCUAUUGUAGCCUGCUUAAAGCAUGUGCCCAGUCUUUUUUCCAAAGGUUUUUUUUUUUCAUACACUUGUGAGCUCUUAGUCAAAGGUCACUGGGGGGCUAUUGGUAAUAAAUUGGACCUGGCUUUCAUAUCUUACUGCUUGCCCUGGUUCCUGGGUACCCAGAAACCUUUCCAAUGACUGGCCGUGAAGGCACUUUUCAAGACCAGACAGAUGUGUGUGUGUGUCUUGGUGGUGAGGCUGCCUCUCCUGAAGGAGAAUUUGCAGGAGGGUGUGGUUUUACUUCUUGCAGUGAAGCUCUUGGAGGCCUGACAGCUCUGGCUUGCUGUGUGCCAUUGGAGUGGAGUGCAGUAGUCAGAACAGUACUUGAUUAAAACCGCUUCUCUUAAGGUUUCAUACUAUCCAAUAAAUUCCAGAGUCAGGCCAGAGAAGAAGGCAACCUUUUUCUUGCAGUGUGAUAAACUCCAGGCACCGUACCAGUUUGAAGACCGUGGAGCCCAUUACCAAUCUUGGUUGGACUGUCCACACCUACUGUAUAGUGUGGGUUUGGUGCCUUCUGACUUCAUCUGUUGGGACUGAUUAAAGAUGCACGGUGAGCUAUAUUUUCCUGGUGAUGAUGCUGUCAUAGCAGCUAGGAAACAGUAGGUCACCUUUGCUAGUGCAGGUUUUUAUGAGCAUGGCAUGCAGGCCCUUGUUCAUUGCUGGUGAAAAUGCAGUGCUAAUGGUGGUGACUGUCUUGAAAAAAACAUUUUGUAGCUGAGAGUUUGCUUGAUCAGACAUCAUUACUGUGCUCUUGGUAUCUGUUGUAGUUCCUUGGGAAUAAGUAGGAAGUGUUUCUUCUGGAGUGACCUUCAUACAGCCAUAUUGGAGCUCUGUGGUGUUUAUCCUGUCCUGCAGCCUUCAGCUUGCUUCUGUCAUCAAUGCAAAGUCCUGAGCUCCAAGUUACCGUGACUUCGGGGGACUGAAUCCGUUGGAACACUUGUGAAGGGUUGAGCAGUAGGUUUGCUACACCUGAAUCAGAAUUUGAGGUUGACAGGUAAUUACAUUUUUUAAGAUAUUUCUAGAAGAAUGAAAUCCGUGGUUUAAUUUUUGAAAUGCCAAGGUUUAAAUAUGCGGAUGUUCAUGAAGUAACUGGGACCUGGAUGGAGCUGGAAGAAGUCCUUGCUAGGAGGCUGACAGGUGUCAGAAAUGGGAACACCUUUGGGGCCAAGCGGGGGCUUGGGCUGGAGAAUGGCCUCUUGGUUUUGCUUUGAGACACUGUUGUCAUCUCCUCAGCUUUGAGUUGAAAACCAAACGAGUUCUUAGAAGAACACUACAGCAUUGUGGCUAAGCAAGUUGUUACCUCUGUAAAAACCUCUCCUUGAACGUCUUUGAAGUGUGCAUAGCUGAAACAAUUAUACUGCAGCCUAUGUGUGAAAGGAAUAGCCUUGCCUCUUUCCCCACACCCAGCCAUGGCUGGUCAGAAAGAUGUAGUGUGUGUAUACAGCCUUUUUUCUUGAACAGCUUUGACCUUUGGACCUUUAUCGUUACUGACUGUAGCGUCAUAGUGGCAUAAAUAUACCCGUCAGCUCAGACAUUGUAACUCUGGCCCUCAUCCCAGUCUUAGAGGCAGACAUAAAUGCCAUCCUCUCUCUGCUUUUGAAAUUGCUUGGUCUGAUUGGAAUGAUGACUGCAUUAAUCCUUUUCAUAUUCCUUCUACCUUGGUUUCUUCACUUCAUUACUAAACUAUCCAUCCUGCUUUCCUGGUGUUAAUUUAAUUCCAUGUGAAGUCUGAAGCCUCAGUGAUGUGUGAGAUUACUACUUACUGUCACUGGCUUUGUAUCGUUUUAGGAGCCUGACUGCCUCUGUGGUGUGUUUGUGAUGCUUUGAGACAAGGAAAUACUGUUUUGGAACAGAGCAUGCAGAAAGUAGCUCAGGGUGCUUGCACAGGCUUGGUUAAUAACCUCUCCCAAGAGUCAGUCCUUCUAAGUGCUCACAACAUUGGAUUCAGGGACUACUUCAUGUUUGGGAUUAAAAAAACCCAACAGACUGGCAGAGCUUUUCUGCCUCUUCCUUUUGUCCAGUACAUCUCAUGUUGAGAUGCAGUUGAAACGCUGCUAAUAUGGCUGUGUCAGAAGAGACUUCUCUUGGGAGAAAUGCCAUUUAGCAUAGAUUUAACCUUCAAUGAUGCUGCCAAGAGUACGUUCCCCUCCAUAGAGGGUUGGAUCUCAAUAUGAUGUACCCUGGUUUAAUUAAAGACUUGCUCCAAGAUACCUUCUUCCAGUUGUUUCGAGCAUCUUCAAAACUGUAGUUGUCAACUUUGUGCAUUUUUUUUUGCCAUUGGAAACAUCUGCUGUUAUGAGGCAAUGGGAUAACAAGUGCCAUUAAGAUGUUAAUUUCCUACCAAUGCAACCAAAUUAAUGAGAACUGGACUAGUUUAUGGUAAUAGCUUCAGCUGGUUGGCUUUCUUGUUCGGAGGAGGUUUGUACUUUUCUUACAGAUUCAUGUAAUGCAUCAUUGCUGUGUUUUGUUGAAAUUGUGCAAUUUUUUGCUUAGCUUUUCUCAACUCCGUGCAUACUUUAAGAAAGCCUGAAAAUUUAAAAGAUAUCUAUUCAGACUUGUUUCUUGUAUGGUUGCCUGAAGAAUAGUUGUCAUAAGCUCUUUGAAAGCUGUGGAAAAAGCUGAGGGCGGUUAUAUUAAACUCUAGAAACUGCUGUGCUUUUAAAUUUUUUAUCUGGAAGUUGUAUAUAAAAUUACUUGGACUGAAAGUCUGCCCAUAGGACUAUUGUACUUGCAAGAUUUUGGAGAUGUUCUUCUGCAUCUGAUGGAAACUGACCUGGACGUGGCUUCGUCAUGAGACUGUGGAAAACAAUGGCUGGUUGCAAAGCACUGCUUUGAGGUGGUUUCAGGAUUCUGGCAGCGCUUCAGGCCUGACACUGACAUUUUCUUAUUGUCUCAGAGUCUGCAGAACCUGGAGGGGAUUUUGAGUGUCGCUGUAGGGUGACAUGGAGGAAAAAAAAGCUGAGGAAGGAAGUGGUUUUGCUAGUGAGUACCCCACUAAGGCUGGUGACCCAGGGGCCCAUAAGUGUCAGUUCUUUUGUUGGCUUGUGGUGGCUAAUAGCUGGAUGUGUCUUACGGCUUGGCACGGCCUCAUAGAUGCUUCCUUGUAGAAUACAGUUGUGUAUUUCCCUUUUCCUUUUCCCUCCUCUUCUGCAUCAGUCAUGUGUGUGAUUCUGUAUGCCAAGCUGCUGGAGAUGGACAGCUGAACUUCUCUGUGAAUGUGGGGAUGAGGGAAUGAUGGCUGCUGACCGAUGUUCAUUUGUGUCACCGUUGAGUGUUUCAAGUGAUGAAAUAUUUGAAUUGCUUGGAAAACGCCAAGUGGAUGAAAUUGAUUUCAUGAACUAAUAAGAUUUGAGAGAAAAGACAAGAAUAUGUGGGAAGCUUAAGGUGGUUUUUUCCUUCACUCCCUCACCCCGUACUUCCUUACAAGUGUCUGACUUGUAUGUUCUGUCAUUCUUUCUGAGGUUAUUGUGCUUCAUAGAAUCACAGUAUCGUUUGAGUUGGAAAGAACCCUUAAAGGUCACGUAGUCCAACUCCCCUGCAAAGCACAGGGACGCCUACAGCUAAAUCAGGGUGCUCAGAGCCCCGUCCAACAUGACCUUCAAUGCCUGCAGGGACAGCGCUUCCACCACAUCUCUGGGCAACGUUUUUCAGUGCCUCACCACUCACACUGUAAUAAACUUUUUCCAUAUAUCCAAUCUAAACCUCCCCUCUUCAAUUUUGGAAGCAUUUCCCCUUGUCCUGUCACAACAGACUGCUAAAAAGUCUGUCCCCUGUCCCCCCUCUAGAUAAUCUAUAUAUAUAUAUAUAUAUAUAUAGAUAGAU
ensembl:lncRNA